AUAUCGCGUUUGAAUCCGUGAGUGCUGUACAUAAAGUAUGACGAAAUACAGCUUUGUAGUUAUACUAUCAGAAUUGCAUCCAAAUAACACCUCUACUAACAGCAGGUGUUUGCAUGUAUUGAGCAUAAUAUUUACGUACAGAGAGAUGGGAACUUGUGUGAGACAUGUAUUGAGUUAGUGCACUGUUACCGCUUUACUAAGAUGUGCCUUGGGUGUGCCAAUGUUAUCACAUACAAGUGCAGCAACCAUUUUGAAUUGCAAUGCACUCUGGUGCAGUUCCAUGCACAAUUUGCAUUGCCUUCCUGUGAGAUGCAUGGUUUGCAUUGCCUUCCUGUUCUCCCUGUGGCUUUGCAGGUUCCUUGUCUUUGGAGUUUCCGGAGCAGUACCAUUCGCUUGUGUCCAUACAAGGCGGAGUGCAUCACUGCCGGCAGUGCACCUAUAUGACCAAGAAAAGGACAGACAUGAAAAGACACCUUUGCAUACACACAGGCGAGCACCCCUUCCGGUGUCACUUGUGUCCUGCUGCAUUUCGUCAGAAAGGCAACCUCAAAAGGCACAUAUGCUCCCACACAGGGGAGCGUUCAUUUUUCUGUGUACACUGCGAUAAAUCUUUUUCGAAGAAAGGCACUCUCAACUACCACAUCUUCCGUCGUCAUGCAAAGAAGCCCUGAAGGCACAGCAUCCUCCGUCGCUCUGUCCCAAGCUGGAUGCAUCAUGCAGUCAAACUGUGAUGUUGACAAAUGGGAAGAUUGGCGUCAAGGAUGAGUUUCAAAAAUUGUUCUUUCUUAAAACAAAGUUAUUAUGAAUCUUGUCAAAUAAAAAUCCUAGAAUUUACUUUUGA
rnacentral:lncRNA from 1 species